UACGAAGGGGGCUAGCGUUGCUCGGAAUCACUGGGCGUAAAGCGCACGUAGGCGGAUUGUUAAGUCGGGGGUGAAAUCCUGGAGCUCAACUCCAGAACUGCCUUCGAUACUGGCGAUCUUGAGUCCGGGAGAGGUGAGUGGAACUCCGAGUGUAGAGGUGAAAUUCGUAGAUAUUCGGAAGAACACCAGUGGCGAAGGCGGCUCACUGGCCCGGUACUGACGCUGAGACGCGAAAGCGUGGGGAGCGAACAGG
rnacentral:rRNA from 1 species